rnacentral:rRNA from 1 species
GACGUAGGGCGCGAGCGUUGUCCGGAUUUAUUGGGCGUAAAGGAGCUACGUAGGCGGCUUGUCGCGUCGAAUGUGAAAACCCACGGCUCAACUGUGGGCUUGCAUUCGAUACGGGCAGGCUAGAGUUCGGUAGGGGAGACUGGAAUUCCUGGUGUAGCGGUGAAAUGCGCAGAUAUCAGGAAGAACACCCGUGGCUAAGGCGGCUCUCUAGUACGGUACUGACGCUGAGACGCGAAAGCGUGGGGAGCGAACAGG